rnacentral:rRNA from 1 species
UACGGGGGGAGCAAGCGUUGUUCGGAUUUACUGGGCGUAAAGGGCGCGUAGGCGGUCGUGACAAGUCAGUUGUGAAAUCUCCGGGCUUAACUCGGAAAGGUCAACUGAUACUGUGCGACUAGAGUGCGGAAGGGGCAACUGGAAUUCUCGGUGUAGCGGUGAAAUGCGUAGAUAUUCGCAAGAACACCAGUGGCGAAGGCGGCUCACUGGCCCGGUACUGACGCUGAGGCACGAAAGCGUGGGGAGCAAACAGG